rnacentral:rRNA from 1 species
UUUUAUGGAGAGUUUGAUCCUGGCUCAGGAUGAACGCUGGCGGCGUGCCUAAUACAUGCAAGUCGAGCGAACGGACGAGAAGCUUGCUUCUCUGAUGUUAGCGGCGGACGGGUGAGUAACACGUGGAUAACCUACCUAUAAGACUGGGAUAACUUCGGGAAACCGGAGCUAAUACCGGAUAAUAUUUUGAACCGCAUGGUUCAAAAGUGAAAGACGGUCUUGCUGUCACUUAUAGAUGGAUCCGCGCUGCAUUAGCUAGUUGGUAAGGUAACGGCUUACCAAGGCAACGAUGCAUAGCCGACCUGAGAGGGUGAUCGGCCACACUGGAACUGAGACACGGUCCAGACUCCUACGGGAGGCAGCAGUAGGGAAUCUUCCGCAAUGGGCGAAAGCCUGACGGAGCAACGCCGCGUGAGUGAUGAAGGUCUUCGGAUCGUAAAACUCUGUUAUUAGGGAAGAACAUAUGUGUAAGUAACUGUGCACAUCUUGACGGUACCUAAUCAGAAAGCCACGGCUAACUACGUGCCAGCAGCCGCGGUAAUACGUAGGUGGCAAGCGUUAUCCGGAAUUAUUGGGCGUAAAGCGCGCGUAGGCGGUUUUUUAAGUCUGAUGUGAAAGCCCACGGCUCAACCGUGGAGGGUCAUUGGAAACUGGAAAACUUGAGUGCAGAAGAGGAAAGUGGAAUUCCAUGUGUAGCGGUGAAAUGCGCAGAGAUAUGGAGGAACACCAGUGGCGAAGGCGACUUUCUGGUCUGUAACUGACGCUGAUGUGCGAAAGCGUGGGGAUCAAACAGGAUUAGAUACCCUGGUAGUCCACGCCGUAAACGAUGAGUGCUAAGUGUUAGGGGGUUUCCGCCCCUUAGUGCUGCAGCUAACGCAUUAAGCACUCCGCCUGGGGAGUACGACCGCAAGGUUGAAACUCAAAGGAAUUGACGGGGACCCGCACAAGCGGUGGAGCAUGUGGUUUAAUUCGAAGCAACGCGAAGAACCUUACCAAAUCUUGACAUCCUUUGACAACUCUAGAGAUAGAGCUUUCCCCUUCGGGGGACAAAGUGACAGGUGGUGCAUGGUUGUCGUCAGCUCGUGUCGUGAGAUGUUGGGUUAAGUCCCGCAACGAGCGCAACCCUUAAGCUUAGUUGCCAUCAUUAAGUUGGGCACUCUAAGUUGACUGCCGGUGACAAACCGGAGGAAGGUGGGGAUGACGUCAAAUCAUCAUGCCCCUUAUGAUUUGGGCUACACACGUGCUACAAUGGACAAUACAAAGGGCAGCGAAACCGCGAGGUCAAGCAAAUCCCAUAAAGUUGUUCUCAGUUCGGAUUGUAGUCUGCAACUCGACUACAUGAAGCUGGAAUCGCUAGUAAUCGUAGAUCAGCAUGCUACGGUGAAUACGUUCCCGGGUCUUGUACACACCGCCCGUCACACCACGAGAGUUUGUAACACCCGAAGCCGGUGGAGUAACCUUUUAGGAGCUAGCCGUCGAAGGUGGGACAAAUGAAUGGGGUGAAGUCGUAACAAGGUAGCCGUAUCGGAAGGUGCGGCUGGAUCACCUCCUUUCUAA